AUAGCGUAUAUUAAAGUUGUUGCAGUUAAAAAGCUCGUAGUUGACUCUCGGACGAGGGCAGCCGGUCCGGCCUCUGGUCGGCACUGGUUGGACCAAGUCUUACCUCUUGGGGAGGGUCGGUGCUCUUUACUGAGUGCCGGCCACCAGAACCAAGAAGAUUACUUUGAGAAAAGUAGAGUGUUCAAAGCAGGCAAUUGCUUGAAUACCUUAGCAUGGAAUAAUAAAAUAGACCUUGGUUCUAUUUUAUUGGUUUAAGGACCAAAGUCAUGGGUAAUAGGAACAGUCGGGGGCAUUCGUAUUCAGGAGCUAGAGGUGAAAUUCUUGGAUUUCCUGAAGACGCACUACUG
rnacentral:rRNA from 1 species